CCAGAUAGCAAGCAUAGUCGGCCCGAUUCUGGCUGAGUGCUGGCAGUGUCGGCUGAGGUCCGAGUCGGCUGAAGCACAGUAAACACAGUCGGCCCGAUCCUGGCUGAGUGCUGCCACUGUCGGCGGAGUUUCAGGUCGGCUGAGGCACUGUCCCCUUGAAUGGGCCGACACUGACACGCAGUAGUUGGGCUGAUUACUGAGUGUCUUAUUUGGCCCGAUUGGGGUUUGAUGGGCUACUGCCAGUUUUCGAAUCAAUCUCGGCAGACGGAUUUCAUACAGUGUGUGGCCCGAUACUUCAGAAACGAACACUGAUCAGUAUCGAGGCUGUUGGCGGCAAAAAUGAAACAUUUAGCGACAGCCGGACGCUAAACGUACAUGGCCCAAUUUUGUAAAGUGACUGUCGGCCCAUUACAUGUGGAAGAGCCACGAGCAGAGCAACUGUUCAGUUUGAAACCAGCAGGACGGCGCGAAACUGUCUCGUUUUGGACACUGCCUGUGGCCUACACCUCAGAAUCCAGGCCACACAGAGACCUGCCUGCACUGAAGGCUACCCGUGUAUACAUGUGUGAACCAUUUCUUGUGUUGGAAAAACAGGAGACCUGAAGAGCUCUUGAUGCUUUUGGUUUGCCUCAUCCAUUUUGUCAGCAAAGAACAGGAGUGGGCAGGAAACAUGCGCUGUUGAAAACAUGGCCAACCAACUGGAGCACCCACAAGGUUCUUGUGAAGGAAGUCCACAAGUGCUUCAGGUCUGUAUGUGUUGACAAAUAUGUCUUGCUCUUGGUGAUUGUCAUUGGUAAUAUAUCAGCAUUUAACAAUCACACAAUGUCAAUGUUGCCCAAAAUAACUACCAGGGAGGUGUUACCAAGACAGCUGCAGAAUGGCAAGACUGGGCUUUAGUAAUAUUUUGUCAGACAGUAAAGGAUACAUAGUUUAAUGAUUUUUUUUCUUUUCUUUUGAAAUGACAUGCUGUCCAUGCAUCUCAAAUUGAAGGAUGGAUGGAAAGAACUCUUUGAUCAACCCCCACAGAGAGCUGAGGUGGCUAUCUUUUGGAGACACCCCCGGCUGCUAGUGCUGCUGAAACUGGUGGAGGCAACAAUGAAGCGGCAACAGAAGGAGAAGGCAGGUGGCAAAGGUUGCUGCUAUUGAAAAAUACUUUGAGAGUGAGUGUGUGUGCAUGUAUGUAGCUGGGUAGGUCAUGGUACAAAAAUACAGAAUUUAAAGCACUUAACACUUAACUCACAUCCCACUACUGACAAUGGAAUUACUCUUUUAGAGUGAGUGAGUGAGGGAGAGAGAUAGAAUAUUUCUGUAAAUGUUUAAUGUUAAUUUAGAAUCAUUUAUUUCUUUGAAUCAUUAUACAGUUUUAAAAUGUUUAAUUGUUUGUGUUUUUGUAUAUGAAAGAAGUCGAUUGUUGUAGAUAAAAGUAGAUUGUAUAUUUUAACUUGUUUAAUUUCUAAAGUGUAUAUAUGUAAAAGCUUGUAUAAUUUUUAAAUGUUUGUUUUAUUUGCAAGGUUGUGUUUGUCAAACUUGUUAAUAAAAGUAGCUUGUGCUUUUAAUUACUAGUUCUGGAUUUGUGUUUAUUUUCAAGUACUUUUGGUAGUUAAUGGGCCACAUGUGGCCCGGGGACCCAGCCGACAUUCAGCCAACACUCAGUCAGAUCAGUUUUAUAGUGUGUGGGCCAGUACAGGCCC